CCGCGGCGAGAGCAGGUGCACGUGGGUGUCGAUGGCGCCGGCGGUGGCGAUCAGGCCCUCGCCGGAGACGAUCGUGGUGCCGGUGCCGACGACCACGUCCACGCCGUCCAGGGUGUCCGGGUUCCCGGCCCGGCCGAUCGAGGCGAUCCGGCCGCCGAUCAGGCCGAUGGACGUCUUGCGGAUGCCCUGGAUCGCGUCGAUGACCAGGACGUUGCUGAUCACCACGUCGCAG
rnacentral:sRNA from 1 species